GCAGCAGUGCGGCGACGGAGAAAACAGCGGCGCCACCAGCACCAGCACCAAACAACAAAAUCGUCGGACGCACUCAUUGGAACAUUUCAGUUUCGAUUUAACACUGCUUGGCUAACGACGUCGGCGCAGUUGUGGUAUUGUUUGAGAAAAAGAAUAGCUAGCAAAGAAAGAAAGAACGAAAGGAAGCAGAUUCAGUGUCUAGAAAAAGAAGAAGAAGAAAAAGAUAGAAUACGCGUCGCGUUUUUGCCUUCAAAGUGUUUGUGAAUGUGAGAAAAAUGUGAGAAAAUCGAAAAGAAUGUGAAAAAAAGAAAAUACAACCACCAGGUCAGAAAGAAAAUUCAAAAAAGAAAAUUAACCGAAAAAAAUAAAAAUUUCACAUCUAUGGGGUGUCCAUAGAUAGCAACGACAAUCAAAUCAAAUUCAGAAAAAAGGAAGAAAGGAAAAAAAGUGAUAAAAAUUUCAAGAGCAAAAGAAUACAAUAACAACAUCAAAAAAAAUCAUAAAAGUGUUGUAAUUUUAAGGAAAUAAAAAAAAGAAUAAUUAUUAUUUUUAUAAUGACAAAAUUAAAAACAACAAGAAUUGCUUUUGCGGAGAACUUCAAGUGGUGUUAGCGCUACAUAAAGCCGGUUUGCUCUCCGAUAUUUUCCAAAAAAAUCAUAAACAACAAUAGUCAACAAAUCACGUUUUGAGUUUACCAAACAUCAGAAUAGAGAAAAAACCAAUUCCAAAAUUUCGUAAUUUAAUACCCACCAAAAACAAAACAAAAAAUAUUGAGGCCAAUAAAAAAAAAAUAAAAUAAAAAAACUCCAACCCAAAGACCUACUGUAAUGCAACACAAAACGUCUCGUUUGGCGAUUAACAAAAUCAAAAGACGUUACCGCAUGAGUCUGAUUGAAUUCAAUGAGAACAAAUUCAUAGGGCUACAGCGACAUUACCCACCACUGCAACCACGAGCGGAGGGCGCAAAAGCAGCAGCAGCUACAGCAUCACUAGUCAAAGAACCACAAAAAAGGUGCUAAAAAGCCCAGCAAAAUAAAACAACGAUUGUCGGUUAAGUGAUGCGAAAAUUUUGAGAUAAACAUUUUGAGGGGUUUGGGGAAAAAAUCGUAACGAGAAAAACCUUUGACGAGCGUUUGUUGAACUCCAGUGUUGUUGUUAGUCUAUUAGGUUCGCCUGUCGGUCUGUCUGUCUCUCAGCUUCUCUGGUUAACCCAAAUAAAAUCAAAUAUUUUGCAAUAACACAGAUCGACAACAGCUAAAAAAAAAAAAACAAACCUAAAACGGAAAACGCCAACUGCUGUAACGGCAGUGAGAACGAAAUCCAACAACAGCAACAACAACUACAAAGAAGAAAUAAACACAACAACAUUGCAACAAAAGUGCAAUAACCCAUCCGGGCAAAUGAGGGUACUCGUCAAUGUUGAAUGACUGGGGGAGUAGCAGCCAAGAAGAAACUUUGAACGAUCACCAAGCUGGCGAGCAAAACAGCAUAAAAUACUGCCAAGCGAGCACUCAAAUAGAGCAAUAAAAGCAACAACAACAGAAACAAAAACAGUGCAACAGAUCUGUAGAAAAAAAGAGUCUAAACAACGCAACUGAACAGAAAAGGCUCUGCUCUAGAGACUAGCUAGCGCAUCAGCCAGCUAGCCAGCCAGCCAGAAAGCAUUCGCAUCAGCAAUCGCAUUUCUUUUAAUUAAUUUAUGCAUUUUUAUGAUUCUCUUGUUUGUAGAAAAGAAAACAACAACAAUAAUUUUCCAAAACGAAAACAAAGAACCGACCGAAAGAAAGGAAGUGGCUUUGUUUUAAAUUUUACAAAAGAAAAUAUUUUGUUUUGUUUUUCGCAAUUUUUUCUAUUUGCAUUCAAUUAUCUGAAAACACUCGAAUUUUGUUUGGAAAUUCAAGACAUUUCUGUCAUCACUCCUCUUUCAUUACUGUGGCCUUUUGUUGUCCGCUGGGGGUGGUAAUUAUUCUUUCGUUACCAUUCGAAAUCAAUCAGCCACCGCCAAUUCAUCAGCAAAAACAGGCACAGACGCUCACACACGCCGCCACA
rnacentral:sRNA from 1 species